GGCCAUGUGGUGUAAUGGUUUGAGUGGAGGACUAUCACACUGUAGACUGGGGUUCAAAUCCCUGCUUGGCAA